GCCCCACGCUCUUCCUCCUUGUGCAGCUUCCCUUUCGCCUUCUGCCAUGAUUGGAAGCCUCCUGAGGCCUGUGCAGCCACAGUUCCUGGUAAUGGGAAAGAACUUGACAAUUAUGGUCGUUCACUUGUGUCUCAGUUGCAUAUUUUGCCCGACUACAAGGAAGAAGCGUGAAAAUGCCCAUGUUUUCUUUUGACAGAUGAACUUUACCAUUUCAAGUGAAAGGAACAUAAACUCAAGGUGCUUGCACUUCUUUGGUUUGACUUUGCCAGCAGCACAGAGUUGGCAUUAUUUGUUGCACAUCUUCUUCGCGACUCGGUAAUGUCAGCCUUUAAAUUUCUGUCAUCCAAGUGUGCGUGAAAUGACACCUUACUGAACUCUUAAUUUGUAUUUGCAAUUACCAAUGAGAUUGAACAUCAUUUCAUGUUUUUUGACCAGUCCUGUUUCUUUUCUGUGAAAUGCCCCUGAAUAUCCUUUGCCCAUUUUUCUACUUAUUUUGUCUUGAUUUAUGUAUACGUACAUAUUUGUGUGCACAUAUAUACACACUUAUGAGUAUACACACUACAUUUUGGUUUUAAUAUUAAACGUGUUGUUCGCAUGGGUUGCAAAUAUACUCUGUUUGUAGCUUCUCUUUUUGCUUUGUUGAUGGAAUCUUUGAUGAGUAAAAAUUAUAAGUACUGAUGUAAUACAGUUUUCAGUUGCAUCUUUUUCCAUCAUGUAUCAUCCAUCCUUGUUACAAGGAUUUGAAUAGUCCAUCCUUUCCACAAUGAUUUGCUGCUUCUGAAAUAUGCUAAAGUCCAUACGUGUGGGUUUGUUCUGAAGCUCUAUAUUCUGUUCUACUUGUGUAUCCUUUU
rnacentral:lncRNA from 10 species